rnacentral:rRNA from 1 species
CAGGCUUAACACAUGCAAGUCGAGGGGCAGCAUGGUCUUAGCUUGCUAAGGCCGAUGGCGACCGGCGCACGGGUGAGUAACACGUAUCCAACCUGCCGUCUACUCUUGGACAGCCUUCUGAAAGGAAGAUUAAUACAAGAUGGCAUCAUGAGUCCGCAUGUUCACAUGAUUAAAGGUAUUCCGGUAGACGAUGGGGAUGCGUUCCAUUAGAUAGUAGGCGGGGUAACGGCCCACCUAGUCUUCGAUGGAUAGGGGUUCUGAGAGGAAGGUCCCCCACAUUGGAACUGAGACACGGUCCAAACUCCUACGGGAGGCAGCAGUGAGGAAUAUUGGUCAAUGGGCGAGAGCCUGAACCAGCCAAGUAGCGUGAAGGAUGACUGCCCUAUGGGUUGUAAACUUCUUUUAUAAAGGAAUAAAGUCGGGUAUGGAUACCCGUUUGCAUGUACUUUAUGAAUAAGGAUCGGCUAACUCCGUGCCAGCAGCCGCGGUAAUACGGAGGAUCCGAGCGUUAUCCGGAUUUAUUGGGUUUAAAGGGAGCGUAGAUGGAUGUUUAAGUCAGUUGUGAAAGUUUGCGGCUCAACCGUAAAAUUGCAGUUGAUACUGGAUAUCUUGAGUGCAGUUGAGGCAGGCGGAAUUCGUGGUGUAGCGGUGAAAUGCUUAGAUAUCACGAAGAACUCCGAUUGCGAAGGCAGCCUGCUAAGCUGCAACUGACAUUGAGGCUCGAAAGUGUGGGUAUCAAACAGGAUUAGAUACCCUGGUAGUCCACACGAUAAACGAUGAAUACUCGCUGUUUGCGAUAUACUGCAAGCGGCCAAGCGAAAGCGUUAAGUAUUCCACCUGGGGAGUACGCCGGCAACGGUGAAACUCAAAGGAAUUGACGGGGGCCCGCACAAGCGGAGGAACAUGUGGUUUAAUUCGAUGAUACGCGAGGAACCUUACCCGGGCUUAAAUUGCAGAUGAAUUACGGUGAAAGCCGUAAGCCGCAAGGCAUCUGUGAAGGUGCUGCAUGGUUGUCGUCAGCUCGUGCCGUGAGGUGUCGGCUUAAGUGCCAUAACGAGCGCAACCCUUGUUGUCAGUUACUAACAGGUUCCGCUGAGGACUCUGACAAGACUGCCAUCGUAAGAUGUGAGGAAGGUGGGGAUGACGUCAAAUCAGCACGGCCCUUACGUCCGGGGCUACACACGUGUUACAAUGGGGGGUACAGAGGGCCGCUACCACGCGAGUGGAUGCCAAUCCCCAAAACCUCUCUCAGUUCGGACUGGAGUCUGCAACCCGACUCCACGAAGCUGGAUUCGCUAGUAAUCGCGCAUCAGCCACGGCGCGGUGAAUACGUUCCCGGGCCUUGUACACACCGCCCGUCAAGCCAUGGGAGCCGGGGGUACCUGAAGUGCGUAACCGCGAGGAGCGCCCUAGGGUAAAACUGGUGACUGGGGCUAAGU